UACGUAGGCAGCAAGCGUUGUUCGGAGUUACUGGGCGUAAAGGGCGUGUAGGCGGUCCGCUAAGUCUGAUGUGAAAGCCCGGGGCUCACCCCCGGAAGUGCAUUGGAAACUGGCGGACUCGAGUCCCGGAGAGGAGAGUGGAAUUCCGUGGUGUAGCGGUGAAUGCGUAGAUAUCAGGAGGAACACCGGUGGCGAAGGCGGCUCUCUGGACGGUGACUGACGCUGAGACGCGAAAGCGUGGGGAGCAAACAGG
rnacentral:rRNA from 1 species